rnacentral:misc_RNA from 1 species
GCUCCGUAGGUGAACCUGCGGAGGGAUCAUUACAGAGUUCAUGCCCUACCGGGUAGAUCUCCCACCCUAUGUUAUUAUUACUUUGUUGCUUCGGCGGGCCGUUAGGCUCCGGCCCGACUACCGGCCCCGGCUGGUAAGCGCCCGCCAGAGGACCCAAAACCCUGAAUAUUAGUGUCGUCUGAGUACUAUAUAAUAGUUAAAACUUUCAACAACGGAUCUCUUGGUUCUG